rnacentral:rRNA from 1 species
CCUACGGGAGGCAGCAGUGAGGAAUAUUGGUCAAUGGCCGAGAGGCUGAACCAGCCAAGUCGCGUGAGGGAAGACGGCCCUACGGGUUGUAAACCUCUUCUGUCGGGGAGCAAAGCGAGUCACGUGUGACUCAUUGAGAGUACCCGAAGCAAAAGCAUAGGCAAACUCCGCGCCAGCCGCGGCGGUAAUACGGAGGAUGCGAGCGUCAUCCGGAUUUAUUGGGUUUAAAGGGUGGGCGGGGGGAGGUGCAAGUCAGCGGUCAAAUUGCGGGGCCAAACCCGGUACUGCCGUUGAAACUGCAUCCCUUGAGUGCGCGAGAAGUAGGCGGAAUGCGUGGUGUAGCGGUGAAAUGCAUAGAUAUCACGCAGAACUCCGAUUGCGAAGGCAGCAUACCGGCGCGCAACUGACGCUCAUGCGCGAAAGCGUGGGUAUCGAACAGGAUUAGAUACCCGGGUAGUC